AUUGAACGCUGGCGGCAUGCUUUACCCAUGCAAGUCGAACGGCAGCGCCGGCUUCGGCCUGGCGGCGGGUGGCGAACGGGGGGGUAAUGCAUCGGAACGUGCCCCCUAGUGGGGGAUAGCCCGGCGAGAGCCGGGUUAUUAUCGCAUACGACCUGUGGUUGAACGUGGGGGGGCGAAAGGCCUCUCGCCAUUGGGGGGGCCGCUGUCGGCUUAGCUAGUUGGUGGGGUAAAGGCUUCCCAAGGCGGCGAUCCGUAGCUGGUCUGAGAGGACGACCAGCCACACGGGGAGGGAGACAGGGCCCAGACGCCUGCGGGAGGCAGCAGUGUGGAAUGGUAGGCAAUGGGGGGAACCAUGACCCAGCGAGGCCGCGCGCGGGAAGACGGCGCUCGGGGUGGGAACCGCUUUUGUGCGGGAUAAACUGCUCUGGGCUAAGACGCAGGGGGGAUGACGGUACCGGAUGAAGAAGCACCGGCUAACUACGUG
rnacentral:rRNA from 1 species